GGGCCUUUAGCUCAGUUGGUUAGAGCAGAGGACUCAUAAUCCUUUGGUCGCGGGUUCGAACCCCGCAGGGCCCA
rnacentral:tRNA from 1 species